rnacentral:rRNA from 1 species
GGAUACGCUACGGCGCGCUUACACCUGCAAGUUGAAACGGUAACAGAAAAAGCUUGCUUUUUGCUGACGAGUGGCGAACGGGUGCGUAACGCGUAUGCAACCUACCUUCUUCUAAGGAAUAGCCCAGAGAAAUUUGGAUUAAUACCUUAUGACAAUAUUUAUUCGCAUGUUUAAAUAUUUAAAACUCCGGUGGAAGAAGAUGGGCAUGCGUAACAUUAGUUUUGUUGGUGAGGUAACGGCUCACCAAGACUACGAUGUUUAGGGGUUCUGAGAGGAUGAUCCCCCACACUGGUACUGAGACACGGACCAGACUCCUACGGGAGUGCAGCAGAUGAGCGAAUAUUGGUCAAUGGACGAAAGUCUCGAACCAGCACAUGCCGCGUGAAGCGAUGACGGCCCUACGGGUUGUAAACUUCUUUCUGUCCUAGGAAGAAACCCCUCUACGUAGUAGAGGGCUGACGGUACUAUUCGAAUAAGCACCGGCUAACUCCGUGCCAGCAGACGCGGUAAUACGGAGGGUGCAGAGCGUUAUCCAGGAAUUAUUGGGUUUAAAGGGUGCGUACGCGGAAAAUUUAAGU